rnacentral:rRNA from 1 species
UACGUAGGGGGCAAGCGUUGUCCGGAAUCACUGGGCGUAAAGCGCGUGUAGGCGGCUUUGCAAGUCGGGUGUGAAAGCCCUCAGCUCAACUGAGGAAGUGCGCCCGAAACUGCAGAGCUUGAGUGCCGGAGAGGGUGGCGGAAUUCCCCAAGUAGAGGUGAAAUGCGUAGAUAUCGGGAGGAACACCAGUGGCGAAGGCGACUUUCUGGCCUGUUCUUGACGCUGAGGCGCGAAAGCUAGGGGAGCAAACGGG